rnacentral:rRNA from 1 species
GGAGGGUGCGAGCGUUAAUCGGAAUUACUGGGCGUAAAGCGCGCGCAGGCGGCUGGGUCAGUCGGAUGUGAAAGCCCCGGGCUUAACCUGGGAAUUGCAUUCGAUACUGCCCGGCUAGAGUAUGGGAGAGGGAAGUGGAAUUUCCGGUGUAGCGGUGAAAUGCGUAGAUAUCGGAAGGAACACCAGUGGCGAAGGCGGCUUCCUGGCCCAAUACUGACGCUCAGGUGCGAAAGCGUGGGGAGCGAACAGGAUUAGAUACCCGUGGUAGUCCACGCUGUAAACGAUGAGAACUAGAUGUUGGGAGGGUUUAGCCCUCUCAGUGUCGCAGCUAACGCGUUAAGUUCUCCGCCUGGGAGUACGACCGCAAGGUUG